GUGAACAGCUUUAUUAUGUAGUGUUUUGAUCUUAUACAUAUGCAAUCUUUAAUUGCAGCCACUUUCUCUGUAUAGCUCUAUUAAAUGCUUCGUGUCCUAAAUGGACGUUAUGCAGUAUUUACUAUUUUUAUAUUUUCUGUAUUUUUUAGUGCAAAGGCACCUGCUAUUUAAUCUAUAUAAUAUAAUUCUAUU
rnacentral:sRNA from 1 species